AUGGCUGAUUGGGGUCCAAUUUUUGUCUCAGUGGUGCUCUUCAUUCUCUUGACUCCUGGAUUGCUUUUUCAAAUACCUGGUAGAGGCAGGUUUAUCGAGUUUGGAAACUUUCAAACUAGUGGAUUGUCUAUACUCAUCCAUGCUAUGCUCUACUUUGCUCUUGUUUGCAUCUUCUUCUUAGCUGUUGGAAUUCACAUCAAGAAUUAG